GACGUAGGGGGCAAGCGUUGUCCGGAAUUACUGGGCGUAAAGAGCUCGUAGGUGGGACUAUAAGUCGACGAGUAAAUAUCUCGGCUCAACUGAGAUGCCAUUGUCGAUACUGUGGUUCUUGAGGACAGGAGAGGAAAGUGGAAUUCCCGGUGUAGCGGUGAAAUGCGUAGAGAUCGGGAGGAACACCAGUGGCGAAGGCGGCUUUCUGGCCUGAUUCUGACACUGAGGAGCGAAAGCCAGGGGAGCGAACGGGAUUAGAUACCCCGGUAGUCCUGGCCGUAAACGAUGGGCACUAGGUGUAGGAGGUAUUAAUCCCUUCUGUGCCGCAGUUAACACAAUAAGUGCCCCGCCUGGGGAGUACGGCCGCAAGGUUGAA
rnacentral:rRNA from 1 species